GGAGAGAUGGCUCAGUGGUUAAGAGCACUGGCUUGCUCUGCCAGAGGUCCUGGGUUCGAUUCCCAGCACCC
rfam:Mus musculus chromosome X, GRC primary reference assembly.